rnacentral:sRNA from 1 species
GAAGCCCUACGUGGGCGUUUCCUCCCUAAACUUGGGCCACUUUCAUUUGGAAGUGGCCUUUUUUAU